UUGGUUUCGAUCAAUUUUUCCAGGGGAGACCAUACAUCGAACCAGAAGGAGGUGGAGGAACCGGUAAACCGAUCUGUAACUUAGUAAGAGUUUCCACGAGAGGACGCAACUUCAAUAAUUUUUUUCCACAUCCAGAAUCCUUUCACUUACACUCAACAACGAACCUUUGCGAAUUAAAUAUCUUUCAAUCCAUUUGACCCAUAAGACAGUGCGAGAAUCCAUAUGAGCUUUAGCUUUAGAAAACAAACAGUAUUUGCUUCAGUCAAGGAUUUCAAUCCUCGACCACCCUCAUUUAUCAGUUUACAUACUUCAGACCAAGCAAACUUUGCCUUUCUUGGAUUCAACUCCGGCCCCGACCAAAGAAACUCUGAGCAUAAGUUAUCAAUCU
rnacentral:lncRNA from 1 species